rnacentral:rRNA from 1 species
AACGAACGCUGGCGGCAGGCUUAACACAUGCAAGUCGAACGGUAGCACAGAGAGCUUGCUCUUGGGUGACGAGUGGCGGACGGGUGAGUAAUGUCUGGGAAACUGCCCGAUGGAGGGGGAUAACUACUGGAAACGGUAGCUAAUACCGCAUAACGUCUUCGGACCAAAGUGGGGGACCUUCGGGCCUCACACCAUCGGAUGUGCCCAGAUGGGAUUAGCUAGUAGGUGGGGUAAUGGCUCACCUAGGCGACGAUCCCUAGCUGGUCUGAGAGGAUGACCAGCCACCCUGGAACUGAGACACGGUCCAGACUCCUACGGGAGGCAGCAGUGGGGAAUAUUGCACAAUGGGCGCAAGCCUGAUGCAGCCAUGCCGCGUGUAUGAAGAAGGCCUUCGGGUUGUAAAGUACUUUCAGCGGGGAGGAAGGCGUUAAGGUUAAUAACCUUGGCGAUUGACGUUACCCGCAGAAGAAGCACCGGCUAACUCCGUGCCAGCAGCCGCCGUAA